AGGAAGACUCAACUCCUUCCUACAACACAGGGCAGAAAUUAAUACUUAUAAAGCUGCUCUAGGGGCCUAACCACCAUGGAUAACCUGGUCUCUAAAGGAAAAUACAUUCCAGGUUGCAAACAACCAACUGACAACCUUUUGGAAUAUGAUCUCCUUAUACACUGGGGCUGCCUGUGCCUAAACACAGUAGAUUUCCCUCCUGUGCGUAUUUCAUCAGCCCCACUUCCAAUAAGUAACAUUAAGUAAAUUAGGGAUUGACAGUAUUCUGUGUUACAAUAACUAGAGAACAGUUCUAAGUCCAAAGUGUGGAACUGGCACUGUUCACUAGUAUAGAGAUCCUACCUACCAAAGGAAAACGUGCUGCUCCCCAUGCCUAGGGUAUAGUAUUCUUUAAUCUACUAAUUUAGCAGAAAAACUUCCAUAGCACUUGACUGUGCUGUUUAAAUUCGACCUAACAUCUGUGAUACAUGUAUUUUUGGCUACCAAUUAACUAUUCUGAAUAAGAAUAAGAGCAGUAUACUUUACAGCUAAUCUCACACAAAGGAUGUAACUAAUCAGUGAUAUUUGACGAAUUAUGGUAGGGUCUAUUAUAUUCAGUCAACAACAAAUUUAGAGAAACAUACAAAGGUUUUUAAAAAUAUGGGUGGUGUCACACAGAUCAACAACACUGUGCCUCCUCUAAAUAAAUCUAUUUUAAAUAAAUAUUCCUUGUAUUGACACAUGAAACCCAGAGGCCCAAAAAUAUCACUACACAUCCCAGUUAAUGAUAAGGUUCUAAAUUGACUUUGUGAGGGUAAAAUGAAUUGCUAUAAAGUAACAAGGAAAAUAGAAAGUAGCAUAAUAUAGCUUGCAAACUAAAUUAUGUAUUUUUAAAGGUACAGUCAUCCCACUACCUGGCUAUUUCAUUACUUGGUGCUCUAGACAAGCUCCCAAGAACUGACUGGAUCUUGGCUUGUUCUGUUUCUGUCAUUGCUAAUAUAAUAUGGAAAACAUUGCUGAAAAGAACAGAGAUGGCCAUGGAUAUGGCUAGGUUAGGUAUUCAUAUCCAAAUAUCUGAACUCUAACCUAAUGUGGAUAUGAUUCUGUAGCAUUAUAUUAAAAGCUAUGAUGAUGCAAUGCAGGAAAUAACCUUUCAUUCUCCCCCCUAGAGGAUCACGACAGGUGCUUCAAUGCCUGCCUUAUCUAUGGGACAGUAGUGUGAUUCUCAGUGAGAGUGAAGGCCUUUGGGGAUUUGAGUCAGGAAGGGAACAUGGCUAAGUGCCUGGAAACUCUGCCAACAGUCUGCGGUUAGAUUCUACUUGUCUCUGGAUAAGAAAUCUGUGCUCAGUGAACUUAUGUGUUUGGAAAAUUUAACCAGAAUAUAGAGGAAGCAUAAGUCCUGUUUCAAGAGACCAGCUCACGGAGCAUGCACAUUUCUCACCAUAGGCAAGCUAUGGACAAUUCAAUCACAUGGGAUGGCCCCACUUAGGGGAAUGCAGUUCUGGGUUUCCUUGCUAUCCCUAUUCUUUUUCAGCUACAAACUCUCUUCUUUUUCAGUCUCUUCAGUUUCCUUGUGCUCCCUUUAGGAGAGGGACAAGGGUAAGAGUACCAGGCAACUCUGUCCUCCUGCAUGGACAGUUGAGACGGGCAGUAAUGGCACAGUCCUUGGUUGGGGAAGAGAAGAGGAGACAGCACAGACACUGAGACCCCCUUGUCUUCCUCAUCUGGGGGAAGGAAGGUACUCAGUGAUUCUGUCAGAAGCUCUUCACAAAGACUAUCUCUGAGGGUUUUUUUUUUUUUUUUUUCACAAGACUAGAUGGAGAAUUAAUGAAGAAGAAAUAGAAAUGAGGCUUAUUUAAGGUACAAAAUUCUUGUAUUUGUAAUAACCUAGAUUUAUAGAUAUAAAACAAGUCUUUUAAAGACUUCCCUAAAAUACUCAAUAUAAAACAGGAGUUACUUAUCCU
rnacentral:lncRNA from 1 species